CCUACGGGAGGCAGCAGUGGGGAAUAUUGCACAAUGGGGGCAACCCUGAUGCAGCGACGCCGCGUGAGUGAAGAAGUCUUUCGGUAUGUAAAGCUCUGUCAGCAGGGAAGAAAAUGACGGUACCUGACCAAGAAGCCACGGCUAACUACGUGCAAGCAGCCGCGGUAAUACGGAGGGGGCAAGCGUUAUCCGGAUUUACUGGGUGUAAAGGGAGCGUAGACGGCAGGGCAAGUCUGGAGUGAAAGGCGGGGGCUCAACCCCCGGACUGCACUGGAAACUGGCAGGCUGGAGUGCAGGAGAGGUAAGUGGAAUUCGUGGUGUAGCGGUGAAAUGCGUAGAUAUUAGGAGGAACACCAGUGGCGAAGGCAGCUUACUGGACUGUAACUGACGUUGAGGCUCGAAAGCGUGGGGAGCAAACAGGAUUAGAUACCCUAGUAGUC
rnacentral:rRNA from 1 species